rnacentral:rRNA from 1 species
AAUACAUCGGAACAUGUCCUGUAGUGGGGGAUAGCCCGGCGAAAGCCGGAUUAAUACCGCAUACGAUCUACGGAUGAAAGCGGGGGACCUUCGGGCCUCGCGCUAUAGGGUUGGCCGAUGGCUGAUUAGCUAGUUGGUGGGGUAAAGGCCUACCAAGGCGACGAUCAGUAGCUGGUCUGAGAGGACGACCAGCCACACUGGGACUGAGACACGGCCCAGACUCCUACGGGAGGCAGCAGUGGGGAAUUUUGGACAAUGGGCGAAAGCCUGAUCCAGCAAUGCCGCGUGUGUGAAGAAGGCCUUCGGGUUGUAAAGCACUUUUGUCCGGAAAGAAAUCCUUGGCUCUAAUACAGUCGGGGGAUGACGGUACCGGAAGAAUAAGCACCGGCUAACUACGUGCCAGCAGCCGCGGUAAUACGUAGGGUGCAAGCGUUAAUCGGAAUUACUGGG